rnacentral:rRNA from 1 species
ACUCGGAAUGCCAGUUCUCCAUAGCAUGGCAGUCGGACUCCGGGAGAUGAGUUUCGGGGUCGAAAGGGAAACAGCCCAGAUCAUCGGCUAAGGUCCUAAAAUCUAUGCUAAGUGGGAAACGAGGUGAGGUUACUUAAACAACCAGGAGGUUGGCUUAGAAGCAGCCACCCUUUAAAAAGUGCGUAACAGCUUACUGGUCUAGUGACUUCGCGCGGAAAACGUAACGGGGCUAAGCAUAGUACCGAAGCCAUGAGUCUCAACGCAAGUUGGGGCAGUAGGGGAGCGUUCUGUCAGCGGUGAAGGUCGAUCGUAAGGGCGACUGGAGCGGACAGAAGUGAGAAUGCAGGCAUGAGUAGCGUACAAACACGUGAGAACCGUGUUCGCCGUAAGUCUAAGGUUUCCGACGCCAGGUCAUUCCGCGUCGGGUUAGUCGAGUCCUUAGCCGAGGCCGAGAGGCGUAGGUGAUGGACAUCCGGUCAACAUUCCGGAACCACUUGGGAGUGCGAUGGGAGGACGC